rnacentral:rRNA from 1 species
GAUGAACGCUGGCGGCGUGCCUAAUACAUGCAAGUCGAGCGAACAGACGAGGAGCUUGCUCCUUUGACGUUAGCGGCGGACGGGUGAGUAACACGUGGGUAACUUACCUAUAAGACUGGGAUAACUUCGGGAAACCGGAGCUAAUAUCGGAUAAUAUUUCGAACCGCAUGGUUCGAUAGUGAAAGAUGGCUUUGCUAUCACUUAUAGAUGGACCUGCGCCGUAUUAGCUAGUUGGUAAGGUAACGGCUUACCAAGGCAACGAUACGUAGCCGACCUGAGAGGGUGAUCGGCCACACUGGAACUGAGACACGGUCCAGACUCCUACGGGAGGCAGCAGUAGGGAAUCUUCCGCAAUGGGCGAAAGCCUGACGGAGCAACGCCGCGUGAGUGAUGAAGGUCUUCGGAUCGUAAAACUCUGUUAUUAGGGAAGAACAAACGUGUAAGUAACUGUGCACGUCUUGACGGUACCUAAUCAGAAAGCCACGGCUAACUACGUGCCAGCAGCCGCGGUAAUACGUAGGUGGCAAGCGUUAUCCGGAAUUAUUGGGCGUAAAGCGCGCGUAGGCGGUUUUUUAAGUCUGAUGUGAAAGCCCACGGCUCAACCGUGGAGGGUCAUUGGAAACUGGAAAACUUGAGUGCAGAAGAGGAAAGUGGAAUUCCAUGUGUAGCGGUGAAAUGCGCAGAGAUAUGGAGGAACACCAGUGGCGAAGGCGACUUUCUGGUCUGUAACUGACGCUGAUGUGCGAAAGCGUGGGGAUCAAACAGGAUUAGAUACCCUGGUAGUCCACGCCGUAAACGAUGAGUGCUAAGUGUUAGGGGGGUUUCCGCCCCUUAGUGCUGCAGCUAACGCAUUAAGCACUCCGCCUGGGGAGUACGACCGCAAGGUUGAAACUCAAAGGAAUUGACGGGGACCCGCACAAGCGGUGGAGCAUGUGGUUUAAUUCGAAGCAACGCGAAGAACCUUACCAAAUCUUGACAUCCUUUGACCCUUCUAGAGAUAGAAGUUUCCCCUUCGGGGGACAAAGUGACAGGUGGUGCAUGGUUGUCGUCAGCUCGUGUCGUGAGAUGUUGGGUUAAGUCCCGCAACGAGCGCAACCCUUAAGCUUAGUUGCCAUCAUUAAGUUGGGCACUCUAAGUUGACUGCCGGUGACAAACCGGAGGAAGGUGGGGAUGACGUCAAAUCAUCAUGCCCCUUAUGAUUUGGGCUACACACGUGCUACAAUGGACAAUACAAAGGGCAGCGAAACCGCGAGGUCAAGCAAAUCCCAUAAAGUUGUUCUCAGUUCGGAUUGUAGUCUGCAACUCGACUACAUGAAGCUGGAAUCGCUAGUAAUCGUAGAUUAGCAUGCUACGGUGAAUACGUUCCCGGGUCU